rnacentral:rRNA from 1 species
GGAGGGUGCAAGCGUUAUCCGGAUUCACUGGGUUUAAAGGGUGCGUAGGUGGGUUGGUAAGUCAGUGGUGAAAUCUCCAAGCUUAACUUGGAAACUGCCGUUGAUACUAUCAAUCUUGAAUCUCGUGGAGGUAAGCGGAAUAUGUCAUGUAGCGGUGAAAUGCUUAGAUAUGACAUAGAACACCGAUAGCGAAGGCAGCUUGCUACACGAGUAUUGACACUGAGGCACGAAAGCGUGGGGAUCAAACAGGAUUAGAUACCCUGGUAGUCCACGCCCUAAACGAUGGAUACUCGACAUACGCGAUACACAGUGUGUGUCUGAGCGAAAGCAUUAAGUAUCCCACCUGGGAAGUACGACCGCAAGGUUG